rnacentral:rRNA from 1 species
UACGAAGGGGGCUAGCGUUGUUCGGAAUUACUGGGCGUAAAGCGCGCGCAGGCGGCUAUCCAAGUCAGUGGUGAAAGCCCGGAGCUCAACUCCGGAACUGCCAUUGAAACUGUUUAGCUUGAGGAUGAGAGAGGUGAGUGGAAUUCCCAGUGUAGAGGUGAAAUUCGUAGAUAUUGGGAAGAACACCGGUGGCGAAGGCGGGUCUCUGGGCCGGUACCGACGCUGAGGAGCGAAAGCGUGGGGAGCGAACAGG